GACGAACGCUGGCGGCGUGCUUAACACAUGCAAGUCGAACGGAAAGGCCCUGCUUUUGUGGGGUGCUCGAGUGGCGAACGGGUGAGUAACACGUGAGUAACCUGCCCUUGACUUUGGGAUAACUUCAGGAAACUGGGGCUAAUACCGGAUAGGAGCUCCUGCUGCAUGGUGGGGGUUGGAAAGUUUCGGCGGUUGGGGAUGGACUCGCGGCUUAUCAGCUUGUUGGUGGGGUAGUGGCUUACCAAGGCUUUGACGGGUAGCCGGCCUGAGAGGGUGACCGGCCACAUUGGGACUGAGAUACGGCCCAGACUCCUACGGGAGGCAGCAGUGGGGAAUAUUGCACAAUGGGCGGAAGCCUGAUGCAGCAACGCCGCGUGCGGGAUGACGGCCUUCGGGUUGUAAACCGCUUUCGCCUGUGACGAAGCGUGAGUGACGGUAAUGGGUAAAGAAGCACCGGCUAACUACGUGCCAGCAGCCGCGGUGAUACCUAAGGUGCGAGCGUUGUCCCGAUUUAUUGGGCGUAAAGGGCUCGUAGGUGGUUGAUCGCGUCGGAAGUGUAUCUUGGGGCUUAACCCUGAGCGUGCUUUCGAUACGGGUUGACUUGAGGAAGGUAGGGGAGAAUGGAAUUCCUGGUGGAGCGGUGGAAUGCGCAGAUAUCAGGAGGAACACCAGUGGCGAAGGCGGUUCUCUGGGCCUUUCCUGACGCUGAGGAGCGAAAGCGUGGGGAGCGAACAGGCUUAGAUACCCUGGUAGUCCACGCUGUAAACGGUGGGUACUAGGUGUGGGGUCCAUUCCACGGGUUCCGUGCCGUAGCUAACGCUUUAAGUACCCCGCCUGGGGAGUACGGCCGCAAGGCUAAAACUCAAAGGAAUUGACGGGGCCCCGCACAAGCGGCGGAGCAUGCGGAUUAAUUCGAUGCAACGCGUAGAACCUUACCUGGGUUUGACAUGGAUCGGGAGUGCUCAGAGAUGGGUGUGCCUCUUUUGGGGUCGGUUCACAGGUGGUGCAUGGCUGUCGUCAGCUCGUGUCGUGAGAUGUUGGGUUAAGUCCCGCAACGAGCGCAACCCUUGUUCACUGUUGCCAGCACGUUAUGGUGGGGACUCAGUGGAGACCGCCGGGGUCAACUCGGAGGAAGGUGGGGAUGACGUCAAGUCAUCAUGCCCCUUAUGUCCAGGGCUUCACGCAUGCUGCAAUGGCUGGUACAGAGAGUGGCGAGCCUGUGAGGGUGAGCGAAUCUCGGAAAGCCGGUCUCAGUUCGGAUUGGGGUCUGCAACUCGACCUCAUGAAGUCGGAGUCGCUAGUAAUCGCAGAUCAGCAACGCUGCGGUGAAUACGUUCCCGGGGCU
rnacentral:rRNA from 1 species